rnacentral:rRNA from 1 species
CCCUGGUAGUCCACGCCGUAAACGAUGAAUGCUAGCUGCUAGGGUUAUUACUUCUUUAGUGGCGAAGUUAACGCAUUAAGCAUUCCGCCUGGGAAGUACGGCCGCAAGGCUAAAACUCAAAGGAAUUGACGGGGGCCCGCACAAGCGGCGGAGCAUGCGGAUUAAUUCGAUGCAACGCGAAGAACCUUACCAAGGCUUGACAUGCAGGGAAAUCCUCCAGAGAUGGGGGGUCCGCAAGGGUCCUGCACAGGUGGUGCAUGGUUGUCGUCAGCUCGUGUCGUGAGAUGUUGGGUUAAGUCCCGUAACGAGCGCAACCCUUGUCCUUAGUUACCAGCACGUU